GGUGUCUGGCUAUUCAUCUCAUUUGCAGCAGGUCACACCAGUAAAAGGGUGUUCUCCUAAGUACUAAAGAUACUUGCCAUAAACAGACUGAAUACUUAUGAGACUGGAGAAGUCAUUAUAAAUUGAAUUUGGGGAAACCAUUUGUAGUAUAUUGUGUUGAGCUAUUUCAAUUGAUUUUGUUUGAUGUGUUCACUGCAAACAGCUG